AUUGAACGCUGGCGGCAGGCCUAACACAUGCAAGUCGAACGAGUGGCGGACGGGAGAGUAAUGUCUGGGAAACUGCCUGAUGGAGGGGGAUCACCACUGGAAACGGUAGCUAAUACCGCAUACCAUCGGAUGUGCCCAGCUGGGAUUAGCUAGUAGGUGGGGUAACGGCUCACCUGGGCGACGAUCCCUAGCUGGUCUGAGAGGAUGACCAGCAACACUGGAACUGAGACACGGUCCAGACUCCUACGGGAGGCAGCAGUGGGGAAUAUUGCACAAUGGGCGCAAGCCUGAUGCAGCCAUGCCGCGUGUAUGAAGAAGGCAGUCGGGUUGUAAAGUACUUUCAGCGAGGAGGCGUUACCCGCAGAAGAAGCACCGGCUAACUCCGUGCCAGCAGCCGCGGUAAUUC
rnacentral:rRNA from 1 species